GUGAACGCAGUGGGCUUUCCUGGCCUCUGAUGAAGCUAACAUGCACGGGAUGUCUGGAUUAAUCACUUAUGAAAUGCAUCCCUCCUGGCAUCUUGAAGCUUUGUCAGCCAGAGAAAGUAAUAGUUUUAACAGGACGUUGUUAAAUUCGGAUACUACUGUAAUAUAGGGAGCAGCUCCACCGGAGAUAACAUCCGGCCAACCUACACAAUCUGUAGGAGGAUUAAGAUUAAGAUCUCAAGAUCAUUUGGAUUACGACGAUAUUAUCAACAUCUUAAAUUCAAAGCCCAGCCGACUCCGACGUGUUUAGAACAGACAUCAACCAUACAAGGGUCCACUUGACGGUCUUUAAAGAUUCAACCCUUUUGAAUGACCCUAUUCAAGCCGCCAACCACUCUGCCGGGAUGCUCAUGGCAAUCGUUGCGGAUCCUAUCAGUCCGUCCCCUAGGACUUGAGUAAUCAACAUAAGUCAAACCCACCGGAUGUGGUGAGAACAUCUUUACUGUACUUGAGAAACAGCUGGUAAUGCUUUCUGGGACAUUGGUGACAUAAUUAGGCCAGCCUGUGUUCCCCAUAAUGAAUCACCAUUUGCAGCACUGUAUCUUCUUUUGAACGUGGACCGUUUCAGAUGGAACAUGGGCCUUGACGGAUGUGUUGAGUCAUUAUGGGCCUCAUUGUCAUUUUUGGAGGCUUUUGUGGUCCACUGCGAACCUAAAACACAAACUACUGCCAGUGAACUUUACCAAAUCCAGUGAUUCACUCUUCCCUUGAGCACUCAUUAUAGAUCAACCCGAUGCCUUCCACUUCAGCUGUUGGAAAGGGCAAAAGAAGCCAGCAAAUCAGGCACUUUUUACUUAGCUACUUAAAGUAGAAUAGAUUUUAUUCAUCUAUCACUGGGUGUAAGAACUGAUUAUUCCAAUUAUACUAAUUAUUAAAGUAGUUCACUUUUCAAAAAACUUUUGCUGAUAAUUUACU